AUUGAACGCUGGCGGCAGGCUUAACACAUGCAAGUCGAGCGGGGUGAUGGUGCUUGCACUAUCACUUAGCGGCGGACGGGUGAGUAAUGCUUAGGAAUCUGCCUAUUAGUGGGGGACAACAUCUCGAAAGGGGUGCUAAUACCGCAUACGUCCUACGGGAGAAAGCAGGGGAUCACUUGUGACCUUGCGCUAAUAGAUGAGCCUAAGUCGGAUUAGCUAGUUGGUGGGGUAAAGGCCAACCAAGGCGACGAUCUGUAGCGGGCCUGAGAGGAUGAUCCGCCACACUGGGAGUGGGGCACGGCCCAGACUCCUACGGGAGGCAGCAGUGGGGAAGAUUGGACAAUGGGGGGAACCCUGAUCCAGCCAUGCCGCGUGUGUGAAGAAGGCCUUAUGGUUGUAAAGCACUUUAAGCGAGGAGGAGGCUCUUUUGGUUAAUACCCAAGAUGAGUGGACGUUACUCGCAGAAUAAGCACCGGCUAACUCUGUGCCAGCCGCCGCCGUAA
rnacentral:rRNA from 1 species